rnacentral:rRNA from 1 species
AGAGUUGAUCCUGGCUCAGAACGAACGCUGGCGGCGAUGGAUUAGGCAUGCAAGUCGAACGGGAGCAGCAAUGCUCCAGUGGCGCAAGGGUGAGGAACACGUGAACAACCUGCCUUCGAGUUGGGGAUAGCUUCUGGAAACGGGAGAUAAUACCGAAUAACAUCACCGGAUCGCAUGAUCUGAUGAUCAAAGCAGCAAUGCGCUUGAAGAGGGGUUCGCGUCCCAUUAGCUAGUUGGUGAGGUAACGGCCCACCAAGGCGAUGAUGGUAGCUGGUCUGAGAGGACGAUCAGCCACAUUGGGACUGAGAUACUGCCCAGACUCCUACGGGAGGCUGCAGUCGAGAAUUUUGGGCAAUGGACGAAAGUCUGAACCCCCAGCAAUGCCGCGUGCGGGAUGAAGGUCUUCGGAUUGUAAACCGCUGUCAAGAGGGACGAAACAUGACGGUACCUCUGGAGGAAGCCACGGCUAACUACGUGCCAGCCGCGGC